GGGGAAUCUUGCGCAAUGGGCGAAAGCCUGACGCAGCAACGCCGCGUGAGCGAAGAAGGCCUUCGGGUUGUAAAGCUCUGUCAGGGGGAAAGAAGGCACCUGGGUUAAUAGCCCAAGGGCUGACGGUACCUCCAAAGGAAGCCACGGCUAACUACGUGCCAGCAGCCGCGGUAAUACGUAGGUGGCAAGCGUUGUCCGGAAUCAUUGGGCGUAAAGAGCGCGUAGGUGGCUUGUCAGGUCUGAUGUGAAAACCUGGGGCUCAACUCCAGGCCUGCAUCGGAAACCGGCUUGCUAGAGUCUGGGAGAGGAGAGUGGAAUUCCUGGUGUAGCGGUGAAAUGCGUAGAUAUCAGGAGGAACACCGGUAGCGAAGGCGGCUCUCUGGAACAGUACUGACGCUGAGGCGCGAAAGCUAGGGGAGCGAAC
rnacentral:rRNA from 1 species